rnacentral:rRNA from 1 species
AUGAACGCUAGCUACAGGCUUAACACAUGCAAGUCGAGGGGCAGCAUGACCUAGCAAUAGGUUGAUGGCGACCGGCGCACGGGUGAGUAACACGUAUCCAACCUACCGGUUAUUCCGGGAUAGCCUUUCGAAAGAAAGAUUAAUACCGGAUAGUAUAACGAGAAGGCAUCUUUUUGUUAUUAAAGAAUUUCGAUAACCGAUGGGGAUGCGUUCCAUUAGUUUGUUGGCGGGGUAACGGCCCACCAAGACAUCGAUGGAUAGGGGUUCUGAGAGGAAGGUCCCCCACAUUGGAACUGAGACACGGUCCAAACUCCUACGGGAGGCAGCAGUGAGGAAUAUUGGUCAAUGGACGAGAGUCUGAACCAGCCAAGUAGCGUGAAGGAUGACUGCCCUAUGGGUUGUAAACUUCUUUUAUAUGGGAAUAAAGUGAGCCACGUGUGGCUUUUUGUAUGUACCAUACGAAUAAGGAUCGGCUAACUCCGUGCCAGCAGCCGCGGUAAUACGGAGGAUCCGAGCGUUAUCCGGAUUUAUUGGGUUUAAAGGGAGCGUAGGCGGACUAUUAAGUCAGCUGUGAAAGUUUGCGGCUCAACCGUAAAAUUGCAGUUGAUACUGGUCGUCUUGAGUGCAGUAGAGGUAGGCGGAAUUCGUGGUGUAGCGGUGAAAUGCUUAGAUAUCACGAAGAACUCCGAUUGCGAAGGCAGCUUACUGGACUGUAACUGACGCUGAUGCUCGAAAGUGUGGGUAUCAAACAGGAUUAGAUACCCUGGUAGUCCACACAGUAAACGAUGAAUACUCGCUGUUUGCGAUAUACGGCAAGCGGCCAAGCGAAAGCAUUAAGUAUUCCACCUGGGGAGUACGCCGGCAACGGUGAAACUCAAAGGAAUUGACGGGGGCCCGCACAAGCAGUGGAGUAUGUGGUUUAAUUCGAAGCAACGCGAAGAACCUUACCAGGUCUUGACAUCCUGAGAACCCGGCGUAAUGGCUGGGGUGCCCUUCGGGGAAUUCAGAGACAGGUGGUGCAUGGUUGUCGUCAGCUCGUGCCGUGAGGUGUCGGCUUAAGUGCCAUAACGAGCGCAACCCUUAUCUUUAGUUACUAACAGGUCAUGCUGAGGACUCUAGAGAGACUGCCGUCGUAAGAUGUGAGGAAGGUGGGGAUGACGUCAAAUCAGCACGGCCCUUACGUCCGGGGCUACACACGUGUUACAAUGGGGGGUACAGAAGGCAGCUACACAGCGAUGUGAUGCUAAUCCCAAAAGCCUCUCUCAGUUCGGAUUGGAGUCUGCAACCCGACUCCAUGAAGCUGGAUUCGCUAGUAAUCGCGCAUCAGCCACGGCGCGGUGAAUACGUUCCCGGGCCUUGUACACACCGCCCGUCAAGCCAUGAAAGCCGGGGGUACCUGAAGUCCGUAACCGUAAGGAGCGGCCUAGGGUAAAACUGGUAAUUGGGGCU